UAUUUUACAAAAGCACACAAUACAGUAAUUUAGGAUAUACAUCAGAGGUUUCUAUAGAAUCUAAGCAUUUAAAAGGAACAUAUUUUCACUCAUGCUGCCAUAACAAUUUUGGCAAUGAGAAUCUUGUAAGAACUACAUUUUCAGCGAUACAAUCAAGAAAUUAUCAAUUCCUAAGGCCCUAGCUAGAAUCCAAUAAUGAUUUAUAACAAGGAGGGUCUAGCAAGAGCAAGAUCGACACCAUCAAUGAAAUUUCGUCAAGCCUGUGAUGCACAACAACCAACAAUGGUGGAGGAAAGUGAGUUGUACCUGAAUAGUGCCCGACCGAAGCGACUCAGUCUGAGAUUUCGUAGCCACAACAUGGCAAGCAUGCACGGCCUCACCAUGAGCGAGAGAGGGCACCAAAGCCAUUCUGGCUCAAAUAGGAUGAAGGUCUUAGUGCUAGGAGAAGCAUAUGCCCCCUGGCCGUUGCGUAGACAGCUCUCGACAUGCAAAUACAAUACAAAAAAUUGUUGGAAUUGUCAGCUGAAUAGCAAAUUCAGUUAGAAUUUCAUGUGAACAUAAAACCUCAAUUUAAUGAGAUCAAUAAAUCUUAUUUUUACAAAAAUAAUAAACACAAGCGCUAGAACAAUACUUGUACCUAAAUAAAGUUUACAGAUGCACAUGAAUAGAUCCACACGAACAGAGCCAAACAAAGGGUCGAGUUAGUAACCUCACCAUGAUCCCGAGAUAAUUGCUAUCCAUAUGGAGGCGACUCCAUCAUUGCUAUGGAGUAGAACUACAGAACCACAGAACAACAUCUCUCCUCAUGGAAACCNNNNNNNNNNGAGAUAAUUGCUAUCCAUAUGGAGGCGACUCCAUCACGGCCUCACCAUGAGUGAGAGAGGGCACCAAAGCCAUUCUGGCUCAAAUAGGAUGAAGGUCUUAGUGCUAGGAGAAGCAUAUGCCCCCUGGCCGUUGCGUAGACAGCUCUC
rnacentral:lncRNA from 1 species